AUUGAACGCUGGCGGCAGGCCUAACACAUGCAAGUCGAACGAGUGGCGGACGGGUGAGUAAUGUCUGGGAAACUGCCUGAUGGAGGGGGAUAACUACUGGAAACGGUAGCUAAUACCGCAUACCAUCGGAUGUGCCAAGAUGGGAUUAGCUGGUUGGUGGGGUAACGGCUCACCAAGGCGACGAUCCCUAGCUGGUCUGAGAGGAUGACCAGCCACACGGGAACUGAGACACGGUCCAGGCUCCUACGGGAGGCAGCAGUGGGGAAUAUUGCACAAUGGGCGCAAGCCUGAUGCAACCAUGCCGCGUGGAUGAAGAAGGCCUUCGGGUUGUAAAGUACUUUCAUCGUGGAGGCGUUACCCGCAGAAGAAGGACCGGCUAACUCCGUGCCAGCAGCCGCGGUAAUUC
rnacentral:rRNA from 1 species